rnacentral:lncRNA from 1 species
AUGUUUAUUUUUGCAGAGCCCUUUCGGCUUCCCUGGUGGCUUAGCUGGAAAAGAAUCUGCCUGCAAUGCGAGAGACCAUGGUUCGAUUCCUGGGUGGGAAAGAUCCUCUGGAGAAGGGAUAGGCUACCCACUCCAGUAUUCUUGGGCUUUCCUUGUGGCUCAGCUGGUAAAGAAUCUGCCUGCAAUGCAGGAGACCUGGAUUUGACCCCUGGGUUGGAAAGAUCCCCUGGAGAAGGGAAAGGCUACUCACUCCAGUAUUCAGGCCUGGAGAAUUCCAUGGACUGUAUAGUCCGUGGGGUUGAAAAGAGUCGGACACGACUGAGCGACUUUCACUUUCACUUUACAACCAUCAUCCUGAUUUGUUCCUACAACAAGCGGUGUGAAGAGUCCUUGGGCUGCUCCUUGGAAAAGAGACAAUGGAGGGAGAAGGUACUGACGAGGAGUCUCAUGGGAACAGAUCCAGGAUUCUACCCACAGGCGUGGCUCAUCCAGUUCUGCCAGAAGGAAACCAGCUUGCCCCGGUAACCUGCAUCUUCAUGAGAAUGUCCAGAACUCAUCUGGGCAGAUUCCCAGGGAGGUCCCUGUGUGAGCCUGACCGAGAAUCCCCUGGAGACGCAUAGAAAGUUUCCUAAACUUUGGUCGUUGGGAAAUGAUAGCAUACCACCCUCCACCGCAGAGGUUCUCUGAAAUAGUUUGCUAAUGAUUAUAAUAUCAUAAACACUGGUGCCAGUGAGAGACGGGUCAUUUUGGCGGAGAUCCUGCGGAUGAAAAGGCAUCUUCUUCCCCCAGUUUAAGUCCCAGCCGGAAGCCGCAGAUGGGGGUUGGCAUGACUCCAGCUGUAAUUACUCGACCUGGUCCAGUUACAGGCCUGAGUGAAGGGAGGGGGUCAAGCCCGCCUGCUGUCCAGAGUCAAAGCACUGAGUUCCCAGACAUGCAGAUUCAAUUAUUUCAGGGAGGCCUCUGCCAGCGCCGAUUCUGUUAUUGCACUUUUGAGACUCCCUACAUACAGCGAAUGCCUGCUGGCAGUCACAGCUGAUAAACCGACCAGGAGUUUCCUGCUCUGAGCGGGGGAAGCAAAGGCUUUUGCAGAGACCCACUGUUGGCGACAGUCGCUGGCGGUGGGAACUCCCAAGCUACUGCAUUAAAGCUGGAGGUUAUCUGGCAGUGACUUCGCAGGGCUGGGAGCCGCUCUGAAAUCCAGUUUGCUCUCUUUUUUGGACUGAUUCAGAAGCCUCCAGGGUAAGUGUGAUCAUAAGAUGGUAGAGUCCUUAGAAAAAAAAAAAUCUCGGUGUGUAAAACACUGGCAAAUAGAUGACUGUUUAAAUGCUGCUCACGCUGCACUGAUAUAGAUUUGAAAAUAAAAAGAGGAUUAGAGCUCUCA